CCCCAAACUAAACAUGGCUCAGCAUAAAACACCUAAAUGAAUCUGGAUCACAUCAAGUUCUCAUCAAGCAGCAUCUUCACAGAAGAGAAGAGGGGAGAGACCCAACUGCAGAAACAAAACCGCAGAUAAAAACGUGAUCUCCCUUACACACCCCGGCCUUUUCAGCCGCACCUCCUGGAACCACGCUCACUGAGAAGCGACCUUUCCCUCCUACGGAGCAGAAACAGGAGGAGCGACUGAAUACCUCUGCACAGACAUCAACUC